UACGAAGGGAGCUAGCGUUGUUCGGAAUCACUGGGCGUAAAGCGCACGUAGGCGGAUGUGUCAGUCAGGGGUGAAAUCCCGGAGCUCAACUUCGGAACUGCCCUUGAUACAGCACGUCUUGAGUCCGGAAGAGGUGGGUGGAAUUCCGAGUGUAGAGGUGAAAUUCGUAGAUAUUCGGAAGAACACCAGUGGCGAAGGCGGCUCACUGGACCGUAGUUGACGCUGAGGUGCGAAAGCGUGGGGAGCAAACAGG
rnacentral:rRNA from 1 species